rnacentral:pre_miRNA from 1 species
CUCACAAAGUGGCUGUUAUAUGCUGCUAAUAGGGUUCAUAUCACAGCCAGCUUUGAUGAGCG